GCCCCUGUAGCUCAGAGGAAGAGCAACCGACUUUUAAUCGGUGGGUCGAGAUGUCGGAAUUCUCCGGGGGUACGA
rnacentral:tRNA from 1 species